rnacentral:rRNA from 1 species
UACGUAGGGUGCGAGCGUUGUCCGGAAUUACUGGGCGUAAAGAGCUCGUAGGUGGUUUGUCGCGUUGUUCGUGAAAACUCACAGCUCAACUGUGGGCGUGCGGGCGAUACGGGCAGACUGGAGUACUGCAGGGGAGACUGGAAUUCCUGGUGUAGCGGUGGAAUGCGUAGAGAUCCGGAAGAACACCGGUGGCGAAGGCGGUCUGCUGGGGUAAUGCUGACACUGAUGCGCGACAGCGUGGGGAGCAAACAGG